ACUAUGUGAUAAAGAGUUCCAGUGUGGCCUGUUGACUUAAGAGAGCAUGAAGGAGUAAUUUCAUGGCCAAUAAAGCCUUCUCUUAAGGAGGUCUUACAUGGAAAGGGACAUUGGCUUUCUUUUACAAGUCAUACAGAGAUGAUGCUUAGUGAUCUGUUAACACAUGGUAUGAAAGCACAGAAAACAAUUAAGAUGCAGCUUGCAGAAAAUACCAACAUGAACUCCCUAUUUCCCUACUGCCGGAUGCUUCCGCUCCAAAUCCUGAGCACUGUUUUGCUUCUGCCUGCUUUUGGACCCCCUAGAAAAAGCAAUAUGAGCAACCUGCAACCUGUGGAUUGAAUGUGGUCAGAGUGGGUCUUCUAGGCAGCUCUCCAUGGCUCCAAAAUUUCUGCCACUGCCCCAUGGCUAAUUCUGCCUAUACAACUGCUGCUGUCAUGUUUGUGGUGGAAAAGAUAGUGUGAAAGGAAAGCCAUCCAAGUGUCUCAGUUUGGCAAUACACUGAUGAUCAACCCUUCAAACAGCUUCAAAUAGGGAAGAAGAGAGAAGAAGAAAGUUAACUCUACAUGUAGUCUUCCCGAUUUAAUAGCAUGUCCUGCUCCCGAUUGGGCCAUUUGUGAUGGGGGAGGGAGAAUAUUCACAAUGAUUGGCAUGAGGGAGGGAAAAUUUCUGUGCCUGAGAUAGGCAGAGAAGAAUGUCUGAUUUAUGUCCAGAGGGGAACAAAGGUAAAAGAUGAUCAUGAUGAUGUGCGAUUUUAAAAUAUUUUUAUAUACUAUGUGGGAACGGUGAGGGUCCCCUGACUGCCAGAGUGGGCUCUUCACACCUUGGAGAGUAAGGGCUGGAUUCCCUACCUGCAGCUCACCUGUGGACUGGGGAGUUGAUGAGUGGGAGGCUAACUAAAUAACUAACUAACUAAUGAACGAAUGAACUAUUGAUUGAUUGAUUGAUUGAUUGAUUGAUUGAUUGAUUGAUUGAUUGAUUGAUUGCAUUUUUAUACUGCAUCAUCUGGCUGGAGGCCACACUGGGCAGUGCACAGAAGGACAAAACACAAUUAAUAAUAAUAAUCAUAAUCAAUCAAUAUAGUGACAUCAUAAAAUAAUGUGAAUCAAAUAAAAUUCAUAAUUAAUAAACA
rnacentral:lncRNA from 1 species